GAUGAAGAACGCAGCGAAAUGCGAUAAGUAGUGUGAAUUGCAGAUGUAACGUGAAUCAUCGAAUCUUUGAACGCAAAUUGCACUCUCUGGUAUUCCGGGGAGUAUGCCUGUUUGAGGGUCGCCAAAUCAACAUCGAAAUUCAUUUGCUUUUGUAAAUGUUUAUCGGAUUUGAGCCGUCUUUUUAUAUUCUUUAAAGUGGCUUAAAAUGUAUUUUUUGGUAUCGAAAAACGUUAUUUUACGAUCAAAAUUGAUUAAAAAACAAACGUUUCGAAUGCCAUCUUUUAAUGUAAUACGUUUGACUGUGGUGUUAAUCAUAGUUUUCAUUCGUAUACGAUUUUUUAAUUUUUGACCUCAAAUCAGGUAAGAACACCCGCUGAACUUAAGCAUAUCAAUAAGCGGAGGA
rnacentral:misc_RNA from 1 species